CUGGCGGCGUGCCUAACACAUGCAAGUCGAACGAGAAAGUGUAGCAAUACAUGAGUAAAGUGGCGACCGGGUGAGUAACACGUGACUAACCUACCCUACAGUGGGGGAUAACCUCGGGAAACCGGGGCUAAUACCGCAUAACAUUACGAGGCGCAAAUCCUUGUAAUCAAAGGAGCAAUUCGCUGAAGGAGGGGAUCGCGGCUGAUUAGCUAGUUGGUAAGGUAAUGGCUUACCAAGGCAAUGAUCAGUAGCCGGCCUGAGAGGGCGCACGGCCACACUGGAACUGAAACACGGUCCAGACUCCUACGGGAGGCAGCAGUGGGGAAUUUUGCGCAAUGGGGGAAACCCUGACGCAGCAACGCCGCGUGGAGGAUGAAGUCCCUUGGGAUGUAAACUCCUUUCGAUCGGGACGAUUAUGACGGUACCGGAAGAAGAAGCACCGGCUAACUCUGUGCCAGCAGCCGCGGUAAUACAGAGGGUGCAAGCGUUGUUCGGAAUUAUUGGGCGUAAAGGGCGCGUACGCGGUGCGGUAAGUGUGUUGUGAAAUCUUCGGGCUC
rnacentral:rRNA from 1 species